GUGUGGAUAGCUCAGUUGGGUUACAGCAUGGUGCUGAUAACACCAAGGUCGCAGGUUCGAUUCCCUUACGGGACAACUGCAUA